rnacentral:tRNA from 1 species
GGAAGUGUGGCAGAAUUGGUUGAUUGCACUGGUCUGCUAAGCCAGGAGUUAAUAGCUCAUAUAGGUUCGAGUCCUAUCACUUCCGCCA